rnacentral:rRNA from 1 species
CCUACGGGGGGCAGCAGUGAGGAAUAUUGGUCAAUGGGCUUACGCCUGAACCAGCCAAGUCGCGUGAGGGAAGACUGCCCUAUGGGUUGUAAACCUCUUUUGUCAGGGAGCAACGCCGGCUACGUGUAGCCGGACUGAGAGUACCUGAAGAAAAAGCAUCGGCUAACUCCGUGCCAGCAGCCGCGGUAAUACGUAGGGAGCAAGCGUUGUUCGGAAUGACUGGGCGUAAAGGGUGCGUAGGCGGUUAUACAAGUUAGAAGUGAAAUACCCAGGGCUUAACUCGGGUGCUGAUUCUAAAACUGUAAGACUUGAGUGCAGUAGAGGUUAGUGGAAUUCCUAGUGUAGCGGUGGAAUGCGUAGAUAUUAGGAGGAACACCAGAGGCGAAGGCGGCUAACUGGACUGCAACUGACGCUGAGGCACGAAAGUGUGGGGAGCAAACAGGAUUAGAUACCCGGGUAGUC